UCCGACUUGCGCCGGCAGUCACCUGUGAGUCCCCAUCAAUACAUGCUGGUAACACAGAUCAAGGGUUGCGCUCGUUGCGGGACUUAACCCAACAUCUCACGACACGAGCUGACGACAACCAUGCACCACCUGUCUCCUCUGCCCCGAAGGGACGUUCUAUCUCUAGAACUGUCAGAGGGAUGUCAAGCCCUGGUAAGGUUCUUCGCGUUGCUUCGAAUUAAACCACAUGCUCCACUGCUUGUGCGGGCCCCCGUCAAUUCCUUUGAGUUUCAGUCUUGCGACCGUACUCCCCAGGCGGAGUGCUUAUUGUGUUUACUUCGGCACUGAGGGUGGUACCCCCCAACACCUAGCACUCAUCGUUUACGGCGUGGACUAC
rnacentral:misc_RNA from 1 species